rnacentral:rRNA from 1 species
UACGGGGGGGGCAAGCGUUGUUCGGAAUUACUGGGCGUAAAGGGCGCGUAGGCGGCCUGCUAAGUCGAACGUGAAAUCCCCGGGCUCAACCCGGGAACUGCGUCCGAUACUGGAUGGCUUGGAUUUGGGAGAGGGAUGCGGAAUUCCAGGUGUAGCGGUGAAAUGCGUAGAUAUCUGGAGGAACACCGGUGGCGAAGGCGGCAUCCUGGACCAACAUUGACGCUGAGGAGCGAAAGCUAGGGGAGCAAACGGG